UACGUAGGUGGCAAGCGUUGUCCGGAGUUACUGGGGGUAAAGGGCGUGUAGGCGGGUUUGCAAGUCAGAUGUGAAAUUCCGGGGCUCAACCCCGGCGCUGCAUCUGAAACUGUGAAUCUUGAGUGCUGGAGAGGAAAGCGGAAUUCCUAGUGUAGCGGUGAAAUGCGUAGAUAUUAGGAGGAACACCAGUGGCGAAGGCGGCUUUCUGGACAGUAACCGACGCUGAGGCGCGAAAGCGUGGGGAGCAAACAUG
rnacentral:rRNA from 1 species